GCCUACGGGUGGCUGCAGUCGAGGAUCUUCGUCAAUGGGCGAAAGCCUGAACGAGCGACGCCGCGUGCGGGAUGAAGGCCCUUGGGUUGUAAACCGCUGUCAGGGGGGAUGAAACCGUAAGGUUGACAGAGCCCCAGAGGAAGCACGGGCUAAGUUCGUGCCAGCAGCCGCGGUAAUACGAACUGUGCGAACGUUACUCGGAAUCACUGGGCUUACAGGGUGCGUAGGUGGCUUGUUAAGCAGGGUGUGAAAUCCCUCGGCUCAACCGAGGAACUGCGCUCUGAACUGGCGAGCUAGAGUAUGCUAGAGGUGAAUGGAACAUCCAGUGGAGCGGUGAAAUGUGUUGAUAUUGGAUGGAACACCAGAGGCGAAGGCGAUUCACUGGGGCAUAACUGACACUGAGGCACGAAAGCCAGGGGAGCAAACGGGAUUAGAUACCCUAGUAGUC
rnacentral:rRNA from 1 species